rnacentral:lncRNA from 1 species
CCCCCCCCGGGGCACGUGAGAGCGGGCGGCCCGCCCGAAAUAGCCCCGGGACAGGGUGGCCCGAGGGGCCCCCGGAGGGGAAGGGGGCGGCUGGGAGAGGCCCCCUACGAGGGGGGGUGUUGGGGGACACACACACACACACACAGGGGGAAUAGGGGGGCACCCGGGGAAAAAUGGGGCAUGGGGACAUGGUGGGGGACACCCGGCGAGGGGACACUGUGGGCAUGGGGACACGUGGGGACACAGCGGGCACGGGUGUGUGUGGGGGCACGUAUGGCACAGGGGUGCAAGGGGGCACCCAGAGCAUGGGGACACACAGGGCAUGGGGACACACAGGGCAUGGGGACACACAGGGAUGAACCAGGCAGGGGGACACGUGGGGGGCUUGGGGACACAGAGGGCACGGGGACACGUGGGACAUAGAGAUACAUGGGGGACACGCUGGGCCUGGUCACACAUGGGGAGAUGUGCGGUACAGGGGACACAGAGGGCACGGGGACACGUGGGGACACACCGGGCACGGGCGUGUGUGGGGACACGUAGGGCACAGGGGUGCAAGGGGGCACCCAGAGCAUGGGGACACACAGGGCUUGGGGACACCCAGAGCAUGGGGACAAACAGGGAUGAACCGGGCAGGGGGACACGUGGGGGGCUUGGGGACACAGAGGGCAUGGGGACAUGUGGGACAACAUGGGGAGACAAGGGACAUGGAGGUACAUGGGGGACACGCUGGGCCUGGUCAUACAUGGGGACAUGUGGGGUACAGGGGUGCAGGAGGGCACCCAGGGCAUGGGAUCAAACGGGGACACACAGGGCACAGGGACACACAGGGCAUGGGGACACAAGGGGGACAUGCUGGGUCUGGUCAUACAUGGGGACAUGGGGGGUACAGGGGGGCACCCAGGGCACGGGAUCAAACGGGGACACACGGGUCAUGGGGACACACAGGACAUGGAGAUGCACGGGACACACACACACACACACUGGGCCUGGUCAUGCUUGGGGACAUGUGGGGUACAGGGGUGCAGGAGGGCACCCAGGGCAUGGGAUCAAACGGGGACACACAGGGCACAGGGACACACAGGGCAUGGGGACACAAGGGGGACAUGCUGGGUCUGGUCAUACAUGGGGACAUGGGGGGUACAGGGGGGCACCCAGGGCACGGGAUCAAACGGGGACACACGGGUCAUGGGGACACACAGGACAUGGAGAUGCACGGGACACACACACACACACACUGGGCCUGGUCAUGCUUGGGGACAUGUGGGGUACAGGGGUGCAGGAGGGCACCCAGGGCACGGGAUCAAACAGGGACACAUGUGGGGACACUUGGGGACACACAAGACGUUGGGAUGCGCAGGGCACGGGGACACGUGGGGCAGAGACACAUACACGGCCAUGCAGGGGGGCACGGGGACACAGGGGGCAUUAGUAUGUACAUGGCAUGGGGACACAUGGGGACAUGAGUGACACGGGGGACAGAGGGGGCUGCAGUGGGGCACGGGGACACACGGGGCAUUAGUAUGUACAUGGCA